rnacentral:rRNA from 1 species
UACAGAGGUCUCAACCGUUGUUCGGAUUCAUUGGGCGUAAAGGGUGCGUAGGCGGUUCUGCAAGUCUUCCGUUAAAUCCACCUGCUCAACAGAUGGGCUGCGGAGGAUACUACAGGGCUAGGAGGCGGGAGAGGCAAGCGGUACUCGAUGGGUAGGGGUAAAAUCCGUUGAUCCAUUGAAGACCACCAGUGGCGAAGGCGGCUUGCCAGAACGCGCUCGACGGUGAGGGAUGAAAGCUGGGGGAGCAAACCGG